GUCCCAAGUAGUAUGGUCAAUGGCACAGGAUUAUGGGAGCUGGAGUCCAGUAGCAUGAGGAGGGGUUCUCCCUCCCGUUGUAUAGAAAAAGGAGAGAAUGGCCCGGCACAGCUUGCCCUAGACACUUCGGACAAAAACGGAAAGUCGCCACUGGUCAUGAUUCUGUACAGACGCAGAGUCGCGUCGCUCUAUUCCUUUGACAUCUCCAUGGGGAAAAAAACUGUUUUUGCCUUGGAGGUUGCGGUUAGAAAACCAGCUCAGUUCUUAGACCGGAACGAUCGAUUACGACUGUGAUAGUGCCGGAGUCUGAACUUUCUGUCUCUGUGGAACGGAUGCGUUGUUCCCAUUAAACUUUCCAUUUCUAUGAGACAACCCAUCUGUUUCUUUUGGCAUGGUGGGAAGUGGAGCUGAAGUCUCACCACCCCCACCGCCACCACCAGUGCUCUUGAUUGAUGGAGUUUAAAGGAAGAGCGAGGUCUGCGGGUGUCCAUGGCGACAGAGUGAUUGGAUAGAAAAAGCAAAUCUCGUUGCGGGUUUACUAGCAGGGAUGGGCUGCCCAGAUGGUGAUGGGCUCCAUCCAGCCUUGUAGCCAGCCUUCCUUAUUAGGGUUGCAAGAACACCUCACAUUGCACAAGAAAUGAUAGGGAAUAUCUGACUGUCCCUAUGGUCUCAGUGAAGGAAAAGGAAGGAGCCAAGUUAUCACCAGGACACAAAAGUCUCGUUCAAGAAGAGCUCACCGUGCCACUUGUUUGAGGAACCUGCAGAACUCAGCUAGCCCCAGUUCCCCAGGGCAACCAGCCCAAGGAAAUCCCUGCAGUCCGGUGCCAAGGAGGACCUGCUCACUCACCUCCAACCUCAUGGCUUGAGGCUCUG